rnacentral:rRNA from 1 species
ACUCCUACGGGAGGCAGCAGUGAGGAAUAUUGGUCAAUGGGCGAGAGCCUGAACCAGCCAAGUAGCGUGAAGGAUGACUGCCCUAUGGGUUGUAAACUUCUUUUAUAUGGGAAUAAAGUAGGGCACGUAUACCGUUUUGCAGUAC